GGAACUUCCACAUGCUGGGCGAGGCCAAAAAAAUCAAAAAUCAAAAAUCAAACUCUCAACAGCAUCCUUGGUAUGGUCCCCGUCCUACAGAUGAGGGAUGGAAUCUCAGAGAGGUGAUGGGACUUGCCCAGGGUCACACAGCUAGUUGGUGGUGGCCGGGUCUUCAGCCCAGGCCCAAGGCUCCCCAGGUAGAAUCUGCCUCGGGAUCAAGGGCUGCUGGACCCAGGGACACCCAGGAGGCUCCUCCUUGGCUGUGCUAGGGACAUGUGCCCCAAUUCCAGCCCAAACUGGCUUCUCAGCCUCUGCCCAGGCCCAGAAACUGCCACCCAGAGAGGGAGGGCCAGGGCUGCAGGAGCUGUGGCUGAGAGCACAGCCACGUGGGCAGGGCCGGGUCCAUGCCAGGCUCCCACCUGCGAUCCACAUGUGGCCCCUGGGAAGGUCACCAAAAUUUUCUCAACCUGCUUCUGUACCUGCACCUGGGGGUAAAGCCCUAAAAAUCAAAGAGUUGGAGUUCCCGUCCUGGCACAGUGGAAAUGAAAUGAAUCCAACUAGGAACCAUGAGGUUGGGAGUUUGAUCCCUGGCCUUGCUCAGUGGGUUAAGGAUUCACCGUUGCUGUGGCUGUGGUGUAGGCCAGAGGCUACAGCUCCGAUUCAACCCCUAGCCUGGGAGCCUCCAUAGGCUAUGGGUGUGGCCCUAAAAAGGACAAAAAAAAAAAGAAUCAAGAAGUCGCUGGAUAAGGAGUAGGGUAAAGAGGGGGCUAUCCACAGCCACCCUCACCGUGCCUGCCCAGGCUGUGUCCUCCAACUGAAAUGGGGGGCCCACGGGAGAGCCUAGAGGCCUAGCCCCAUUUUUUUUUUUUUUNNNNNNNNNNNNNNNUUUUUUUUUUUUUUUUUUUUUUUUUUUUAGGGUUGCACCCAUGGCAAAUGGAAGUUCCCAGGCCAGGGGUUGCAUGGGAGCUGCAGCCACCCGCCUACACCAAGCCACAGCCUCGCCAGAUCUGAGCCUCAUCUGCAACCUACACCACAGCCCACGACAACGCCAGAUCCUUAACCCACCGAGCGAGGGACCCAACCCAAGUCCUCCUGGAUACUAGUUGGGUUCAUUACCACUGAACCACGAAGGGAACUCUUUUUUUAAGGCAGCCCCACCUCCUCAGUUGAGAGGGAGUCCACGGUCACUCAAGCUUGGUGGGGACCCCACCUCGGCGCCACCCACUACAAUAGAAUGAGUAAGAACGGUGGCCAAGGGCAGGCAGGGGGAGACUCAGAGGAACAGCACAGGGCACAGGGCAGUAUCCCAGGUCUCAGACAUCUAGCUCCACAGCAGGGACCACCCGGGCGUUGCCUGGUGGGGAUUGGGGGGCAUAAGACUGCUGGCCACAGCCAAAGGCCACAGCAAAAGGCUAACUCUCCUGCCAGUCCCAGGGGCAGGGCUGGGGGUGUGGCCAGACAGCCCCCCAUCACUUCCCCAGCAGGCUCUCACUUUAGCCCACUGCUGCGGCGGCGAUGGGGCCCUAUUGUGCAGCCAGAGGAAACGGUGGUCCAGGGUGGCCCGACAGUCUCCGAUACCCUCCCCCUGAUGCCAGUGGAAAAGCCCAAGGAGCAAAUCCUCAGGGCAGAAAGCAUGCAAACAGCAGGACCACCCCGUGGUCACCAGGGGAGCAGGCGCCAGAGAGAAAGGAGGUUCCACCAGGCACAGGGCGGGAAGCUGGGAUCUGCGGACCCUCCCCAGAGGCCAGCUCCUGUGACUCAGUGUUCAGAUGAAAGAGGGUCCCCAGGGCCCUCGGGCCACCCAAGGCGAAAGCGGCUCUUUUCCACUCGUUAGGCUUCCAGACCAGCGCGCCUGUGGCGGUGAGGACUCAGCCCUUGGCAAGCACGGGUUACCACUCACGUUCAGCUCUGCCUCUCUCCCCACCCAGUCCAGGUCCGCGGCCCCCUGUGCAAACCUUUCCAUCCCCAGUUCCCUGCAGAAACAGAGUUCGGUGUCCAGGACACCCUGUAGGAGCCACUGGGAAGGGGUUUAACUCCAAGGGCAGGAGAUGGAAAGAGGCAAGGUCAGAGGUCAAUGGGAACAGCCAACAUGCCCCAUCCUGAAGCCAGCUCCACUGCCUAGAGCCCAGGGCAGUUCAUACAGGAAGGGCCUUGCUGGGUCACUUCCCCAGGAAAUGCACAAGGUGGGGGGAGGCAGGAACCGCAAUCCUGGCUCCCCAGGCCUGCCUAGGAAGGCCAGCAGGGCUUUUCUCCCCAUCCACAAAAACUGGCAAAUGAGGGAGUUCCCGUUGUGGCUCAGUGGGUUAAGAGCCUGACACAGAAUCCCUGAGGAUUCAGGUUCAAUCUCAGAUUUAAAAAGACUAUUUCUGGGGAGUUCCUGUCAUGGCGCAGUGGUUAACAAAUUCAACUAGGAACCAUAAGGUUGCGGGUUCGAUCCCUGCCCUUGCUCAGUGGGUUAACGAUCCGGCAUUGCCAUGAGCUGUGGUGUAAGUUGCAGAUGCGGCUUGGAUCCCACGUUGCUGUGGCUCUGGUGUAGGCUGGUGGCUACAGCUCUGAUUAGACCCCUAGCCUGGGAACCUCCCAUAUGCUGCGGGAGCGGUCCAAGAAAUGGCAAAAAGACAAAAAAAUAAAUAAAUAAUAAUUUAAAAAUUAAAAAAUAAAAAGGCUAUUUCCGGAGCUUCCGUCAUGGCUCAGUGGAAACGAAUUUGACUUGUAUCCAUGAGGAUGCAGAUGGGGUUUGAGGAAGUUUGAGACAGUGCCCAAGUGGUGGCGGGGGUGGUGGGGUUCCAGACAAGGUGGCUGUUCUAGCCAGGCAGGCUCUGGGCUAGGAGGGGACAUGCAGAGGGAACGCACGCAGAGGGAACACAGAGGGACAAAAGAUGUGGGGGGGGGGCGAUUAUGGGAGGACCAUGGACUGUGCCACAAGAGAAGUUCCCGUUGUGGCACAGCGGAAACAAAUCCGACUAGCAACCGUGAAGUUGCAGGUUCGAUCCCUGGACUCGCUCAGUAGGUUAAGGAUUGGCAUUGCUGUAGCUGUGGUGUAAGGCAGCAGCUGUAGCUCCAAUUUGACCCCUAGCCAGGGAACCUCCAUAUGCCUUGGGUGUGGCCCUAAAAAGCAAAAAAAAAAAAAAAAAGCAAAAAAAAAAAAAAGCAAAGAAAAGAAAAGAAAAAAAGGAGUUCCCAUUGUGGCACAGUGGAAACGAAUCUGACUAGGAACCGUGAAGUUUCGGAUUCGGACACCCCAAGACCUCAAACAUCCCUCACAUACCCAGUGAGCACAUGUCACGUGCCAGACACCCCACCCGUCCUGACUCACCCAAUCUGCACAGAUUNNNNNNNNNNNNNNNNNNNNNNNNUAAUUCAUUUUGCUUCCCCCCUCCUCUACCCUUUUGGGCACAAAUCUUGUGCCAAUGUCGGGACAGUCUAGGUCAAGCUGGACUCUCAUGAGAAUCUGAGCCCACAGAGAGAUGUGCUGCUUAAGGAACAGCAGGAGCGCUAUCUCCGCCCUUCAAGGUGGAGGGGAAGGUAGUUAAAUCAUGGAGGGCUUCCAAGCGGAGGAGGUGACAGUGAAAGUUGCACCACCCCUUUCCCCUGCUCUCUGAUCCUGGAUCUCCUAGGCCAGAUUGCAGACGCCGGUUCAGAGCCUGUAGUUCACUGUGAUUUAGACCUCACAGAUCCAAGCCCCUUAGGGGUAGCCAAGGCCCAAGAGCAGUUGGUGACUUUCUCCAGAUCACACAGCCCAUCUGGAAGCCCUGGAGCUCCCCCGCAUCCUGCCUGCAGCAAAGAUACAGCUCCCCAUCCCUGGGAGGUCAGGGUGGUCUCUCAUUCCCCCACAAUCCAUCCAUCAAACCUGUCCCUCCCUGAAGACAGGUAUGGUCAGUCCCAUCCAUCAGAAGAGAAAACUGAGACAGAGAGACAGAGAGGUUACACCAAUGUCACGUGGCCACUUCGUGGCAGAAAACUAGCCAAGAACCCAAACUCUGGCCUUUGCUGUCUAAGUCUCGAGUGCCCAGCACUGUGUUAGCAGCAGAAGUACCCAAGUCACCGUCCUUGCCCCAUCACCUUGGAGCUGGCUUGGCACCCAAGACUAUGGAACAUGGGACCCGGUGGGAGAUGGGGAGGAGAGCAGCCUGGUUUGGGGGGAGCCCCCUCUAGGUCCUGAUUUCAGGGCCCACACUCAAGAGUCCCAAGGAAGAAAAAAAAGCGACUGCAGGGUCCUGCCACUGCCACCCACCCCAGGGAACAGCCCUGGGUCCAGGGCCAAGAAGGUGAACUGGCACCACGACCUGGGCCAUUAACAGAGCAAGCACCCAAGAGACAUCGCUCAGUUGUCUUCCAGAUGAAGAAAGCAAGCCCCAGAGACAUCCAAGGCUUAGCCAGGGUCACCCCCACCCCCCACCCCUCCUGGUCUAGGAGCCAGGAUCCCAAGUAUGCACUUGCCCAGAGCUGUCACAGCAGCUGUCAGUUACCUGGGCAAGUGUGACCCAAACAGCGUCCCUCCCAGAUGCCGCUGGGGUCUGGGUAUGCGCCUAGGACACCAGGCCCCAGUGGGUGCUGGCAGCUUGGCCCCUGAUCCUUCAAUCCCUGCCUCCAACAGCCAAGUGAGGGGUCCCUGAAAAGGCAGUGCUCAAGGUAACCCCCACACUCUGCCUCUCAUUCCACGGAUGUCCGGCUUCUCAUGCUGCCCCUCGUGCUUUCCAUCUGCAUUUAUGGAGCACCUACUGUGUGCGCUGCACCUAGUGAAGCCCCGCAGGAUCCAAUGAAGUCACAGUGAGGAUCAAGUGGGGGUCGGCUUGGCAGCUGGGUCCAUCCAGAAGGACCUCUCUGAUCCUGUCCUUAAAGCGAGUAUCUAGGAGUUCCCGUCGUGGCGCAGCGAAAACAAAUCCCGCUAGGAACCAUGAAGUUGCGGGUUCAAUCCCUGGCCUCGCUCAGUGGGUUAAGGAUCCGGUGUUGCCGUGAGCUCUGGUAUAGGUCGCAGACGCAGCUCGGAUCUGGCGUGGCUGUGGUGUAGGGUGGCAGCUGUAGCUCCGAUUAGACCCCCAGCCUGGAAACCUCCAUAUGUCGCGGAUGCGGCCCUAAAAAGCAAAAAAAUAAAAACAAAAAUAAAGUGCGUAUCUAUCUACCGGCAGCUCCCAGACCUGUCUGUCCGGCUCUGGCCUGGACCACUCCCACCACGCAAUCUGGCACAUUUUACCUAGAGGCCCAGAGAAGUGAGGCCGUACUCUCAAGAUCACACAGCAACUCGGUGGCCGGGUUUUGCCCGGGUGCUCCCAACACCAGGAGUCACAAGCUUCCUGCGCAAGCUCCUCAGACACAGUUAACCCCAGGCAGGAUGGCCCUAACCUCCCCAGGUGUCACGCACCCACUUCAACCACCUUCUCCCUACACUCACUCCCCUUGCCCCAGGGCGGUGAUUCCAAGAGAAUCCAAGCUCUGCUUAACUCUCUCCCUUCACACCUCGCCCCUACCGGGAGCCCAUUCUCUCAGCAAGCAGCCCCUGAUGGGGUGGGGUGGAUCCCCCAUCCCUCCCCUAGCGUCUCAGCUCAAGCUUCGCUAGGUGCCAAGAAGGAAAGUGGAUCCAGCCUGCUGCAGAACUGCAGCGGGCCAGCCUCCCCACUGGGGCUUCUCUCAUUCCCCCAGCUGGGGCUGGGAGGAGCCCAGUCCUGGGACCACCCAUCUGGCCCAGUUCUUAAAGGAAUACAAUUCACCCCCACUCCGGCCACAUCUCCAGGACCUGGUUUUUCCAGGGUUUACCCUGCUCGACUCCAGAAGACCGUAUAGCUUUUCUGCACAUUACAGGGGAAGGGUCCCACACCUGGUCCGCCAGGGACUGGGACGGCCCCCUGAGAAUGAAUAGCUACGGGUCCUGGAGCCACUAGCCCAGGGCCCAGAGUCUGCACUGACUGGCCCCCCUCCAGGCUGCGGGGAGCUCCCACCCCACAUCUGUGAACCCAGCAGGCUCCAGGAGCCCUCAAUCGAAGUUCUCCAACUUGCAAGCGAAUCGGGCAGAAACCCAGCGCCCCUCCCCCCUUCCCCAAAGGCACUGCUCUUCAAGGGUUCACCCAGUCUCGGGGUGGGGGUGUGGGGGGGGGUCCCUCCUCUAAGUGAAUGAAUAUCCCAGACUUACUCUGGCUUGCAUGCCUCUCCCCGCCCCCUCAACCUCACUUGGGCUCCGGACGAGCGAGGAGUUGGCGCUGUCACCUCCGGACGGUCUGCAGUCCACCUUUUACACUCGCU
rnacentral:lncRNA from 1 species